rnacentral:rRNA from 1 species
GACGAACGCUGGCGGCGUGCCUAAUACAUGCAAGUCGAGCGCAGGAAGCCGUCUGAACCCUUCGGGGGGACGACGGUGGAAUGAGCGGCGGACGGGUGAGUAACACGUAAAGAACCUGCCCAUAGGUCUGGGAUAACCACGAGAAAUCGGGGCUAAUACCGGAUGUGUCAUCGGACCGCAUGGUCCGCUGAUGAAAGGCGCUCCGGCGUCGCCCAUGGAUGGCUUUGCGGUGCAUUAGCUAGUUGGUGGGGUAACGGCCCACCAAGGCGACGAGGCAUAGCCGACCUGAGAGGGUGAUCGGCCACACUGGGACUGAGACACGGCCCAGAAUCCUACGGGAGGCAGGAGUAGGGAAUCUUCCACAAUGGACGAAAGUCUGAUGGAGCAACGCCGCGUGAACGAUGAAGGCUUUCGGGUCGUAAAGUUCUGCUGUAAGGGAAGAACAAGUGCCGCAGGCAAUGGCGGCACCUUGACGGUACCUUGCGAGAAAGCCACGGCUAACUACGUGCCAGCCGCCGCGGUAA